rnacentral:rRNA from 1 species
UAGCCGUAAACGAUACUCGCUAGGUGUCGGCCACGGUGCGACCGUUGUCGGUGCCGUAGGGAAGCCGUGAAGCGAGCCACCUGGGAAGUACGGCCGCAAGGCUGAAACUUAAAGGAAUUGGCGGGGGAGCACAACAACGGGUGGAGCUUGCGGUUUAAUUGGAUUCAACGCCGGAAAUCUUACCGGGACCGACAGCAACAUGAAGGCCGAGCUGAAGACUUUGCCGGAUUAGCUGAGAGGUGGUGCAUGGCGUAGUCGUGU